rnacentral:lncRNA from 1 species
UUGCUUAGAAGUGAUGGCCACGUUUCUUGGAUGCAGUGAAUCCAUGGUGGAAGUAGUGAACUGUUGUAGGCCUGGGGGCGUUGAGGGGGCACGAAAAUUUGGAGUUUCUGAGAGUCAGGAGUCAGCAAGGCGUCCACAAGGUUGUAGAGGUUGUUUACUGCCCAAGCUGGCUGAGGAACGAGGGUAAGGGUCCACACUUUGGCCUGCACUGUGGUUACUGAGCUGUGUAGUUAUCCUGGCGCUGGUCUACCUCGGCCGAGAGCAAAGGGCGCCUUCCUCCGGUACCACACGGGCACUGUUUGCUAACUGCUCACAAACCGGGGCAGGCCACAUCUGCGCGGAGGACCACUGUGUCUAAAUCACACCAUGGCAGGAUGUGUUAACUCCAUGCCAGGGGUUGGGCGGCGGCGCUAGGGAGACAUUCUAAGUAACAGGGACAAGAAAUAACCUGCCUCCUCUUCUCAGGUGUCUUAGUGCAAGGGAGCCCUGAAGAGCGGCAUGGAGUCACCAGAUGGCAGCACUCAAAGCUGCCAUAUUCUUUCCAUGUUCAGCAGCUCCAUGGAAAAGCUGCAGCAGCUUCUGGGCAAGGGAGAGUACCUGCUACUGAAGAAUAUACCCAUAUUUGAGAGUGACUUUAUCCAGGAGAACGUAAUCCACAGACAUGAUUCCAAUCAUGGAUGGCACCCAAACCAUGCUGUUAUAAAGGAGGAAUACUCUGAAACCAUGCACUUGCACAUUCAUAAAAAUUCUGAGGUACACUUCAGUAGGUAAGUAGAGAAUUUACAAUAUUCUUCUCUUUCAAUUGAUGGUCUUUCCUUGUGUGUGUGUAUAUAUAUAUGUAUAUAUAUAUAUUUUUUCCCCCAUCACUGAUUUUCUUCUUUCUCCUCCGUUUUUCACUUACUGACAACCUUAGGCAAAAUUUUGGGUCAGAAAAAAAAAUGAACAAAACCUAAAUUAAAAGACACAAGAUCUUAUUUCCAACAUUGACCCUUCCAUGAUAUAAAUUUUAGCUAAUCUCUACCACAUUCACUCCUCACAUCUACUGAAGAGUAGCAAUAGAAAUUCUCACUUAAUUAGCCUUUCAAACACCUAUCAAUAACAAAUUUAUGUUUCUUAUAAUCUGAGAUUUGAAAUCACUCCUUAAUUCAAACCUUAAUUUAACAGAAAAACUCCUCUCCAAGAAUGGUCCUGUUUUCUCUGUACUUUUUAUUUUUGAUAUGUAGUAUGAACUGUACAAAAUUAGGCUUUGCUGCUUCUCUUAAUCAAAUUCAAAAAUUCAAUUGUUCUAUCCUUCUUUCCUAAUGUUUGCUGUGUUUGAAUUCCAAGACAAAUAUAAUCAACAGUGAUAAAGUCAUAUGUUUGAUUCUUUUUCUUACUCUUAAAAGACCUGUAAAAAAAAUUUAAAAAGACCUGUAAACAUCUUACUCACUAUGAAAUGUGAUUCUAUAUAGAGAUUACAUGAGACUGACUUUACUUUCUUUGGUGAUCAAUUUAACUGUAACAGAUGUUGGAACCUGUAACUCAGGAGUCAUGAACCUAUUACUGAUCAUGUAUAGUCUUGUUGUUGUUCUUGUUUUUAAUACUUUUUCUUCUCAAUGACAAUAAAAUAACUUUUAAAAGCUAUUUUUGUACAUAUAUAUUAAUAUAGAAUUAGACUUGAUUGCAACUCUGCCAUCACUCUGAGUGAAUGCCCUUACAUCUGAAUGAAUUAAGGUCACUGUGGUGUGUCUA